CUCACUCCCUUGGAGACCAUCAUUGUCUAAAGCCUGCCAGGUUUCCUCUAAGCUCCCAGAUCUGUCCUCCCAACUCUGAUCCUACCUGCUCCUGCCCUGGCCAGAUGUUCCUUUGUGUCCCUUGAACAAUUUCACUAGUUUUCUAGUCCCCAAUCUUCCCUUUUCUAUGCCUCAUAUGACUGCCAGAAGGUUUUCUUGACACAACCCAAUGAUGUUAUUCUUCCUCUUAAAGCCCAUCAGUGGCUGCCUAUCACUAACAGAUGAGAUCCAAACUCCUUGGCAUGGUGAGCCUAGCCCUUGCCCCACGUGGCACCUUCCUCACAGAUCUCACUGAGCCAUCUGGAGUUCCCCGGGUAUGCCAUACUCUCUCCUGCUUUUUGUCUUUGUUCAGGUCUGGGUCUCCUCCUUUCCUCAUUACCUGGCUGGAUAACUCUUGCUUGCCCUCUAAAUCUCUCCUGAAGCUCUGCUCCGUGAAGCCUCCCAGCCACUCUGCACACCAACAUCCCUGUGAGCCCUGGAUGCCUUGGCCACACUCCAGGGUGUCGUCUGUCCAUCACUCUGAAUUGUAAUUGUCUGUGCUUCCCAUUGGACCAGGGGCUCUGUGAGGAGCAAAGGAAAGCACACCACAAGAGCCAGAGGGAGAGAGCUUGGCAGAACUCUGGAGGGAGCCUUUCCAAGACCUGCUUUUAGUGGAAGCUACAAAACCUCCUGGGAGGAGACUGAAUUCCAUGUUGGUGUUGCACUAUUGCUUUAAAGUGCCACCCUUUCCCUGGGACCAGCAGACAAUUGUACCCAUUAUUUUCUGGUUCUAAGGAAGGAUAAACUUCCUUCUAAGGCUUCAGGGAUGACAGAUGCCUUCUUGGGUAAAGGCUGAGAAGUCCAAGGUCGAGGGCCUGCAUCUGGUGAUGGCCUUCUUACUGGUGGGGACUCUGAAGCAUCCUGAGGUAGGCAGGGCAUCACAUGGUUGGAGCAGAAGGAACAGCCAGGGAAAUGCAUCCAUUUAACCUUCCAGACUCUGGAGUCCACCUUCUUUGUUUUAAGUAAAUUUUAGAUGCAGAGGCCAUGAACUCAGCUUAUAAUCAGCCUUAUUGCUCAUUCACUUAUUCCAUAUUCAAGAUAUUUAAUGCUCAUAUUGCUCUGACAACAUGCCAAGGAUCUUCAGCUGACACCUCCCUGCAUACUCUACUGGGUGAUAUCUCUUCUGAUUUGUUUUUGUGACUGUUCUGAUUAGUUGGACUCAUGCUAUACAGGUUAUUCAAUAUUUUGAAUAACAUCCUUGACUUAUAAAAUUGUAAUGGGAUAAUAGUUUAUAGUAUCAACCAAGGUUUGUUUGUUUGUUUUCUUUUUCCCUCAAGAAUCUCAUUAUAUUCCUGAUACUUCCUCAAUCAAUGUGUAAGAGCAUUCCAGCCUAUGGUAUUAGUCAGGAUAGGCCAGACUGUGCUGCAAUAAUAAACAGCUGCAAAAAUCUCAAUGGUUAAACACACAAUAGUUUAUUUCUCAUUCAUGCUACAUGUUCAUUGUGGGUCAGUGAAGGACUUUGCGCCAUAUAGUCACUCAGGACUCAGGCUAAAGCAGGUGCCGUCACCUUGUAGCUGUAUCAUUUGAGUGCAUGUCCUCCUUGAUAGGCACAGCAGAAGAAAGCACAUAAAAUUGUACAUGGAUGUAGGUAUGUGGCAGUCAUUAUUUUCACCCAUAUUUCAUGGCCAGAACUGGUCAAGUGGCCCUGCCUAACUGCAAGUGCUGGGCAAUGUAAGAGACCAAAUGGAAGUUUUGCCUCAUGGGAAAAAAGACUCAGCAAAUGUGCUGAGAAAAGAAAAAAGUGUCAACUGAGUUUUAAAAUAAACUAUCAAAACAUUUGGUAAUGAGCAUAUCUUGGAGACAAAAAAAUAUGAAAUUACAAGUACCAGGCUUUGAGCCUCAGAAACCAUACCUAAAGAACUCAAGAGCAAAACAUAUAUAUUUAUAAAUAUAAACAAGAGAUAAAAUACGUGAAGAGUUCUAAUGAUUGCUGGAAAAGAGAGAUAAGUCCGAGAGAAGAGUAAUGGGGUUAGAAACUCGUAUACAACUCUGCAAAGGGUCCUCCUGGGUUGAGACCCAGGGUCAGGGUAUGCAUGUUAAAAAUCCUGAGUAGGUUUGGUAAUAUUCAGGAGCAGGAGCAGAGCAGACCUGGACCUCUCUUCCCAGGAGAGUCUUGUGGAUAAGUCUCUUAUGAGAGUAUGGGUAUGACAAGCUAGAAAUGGCAGCCUAUGUGUCCAGGAGGAAAUGGUCUGAGAUAGGCUAUAUUAGUCCAUUCUCACACUGCUAUAAAGAAUACCUGAGACUGGGUAAUUUAUGAAGGAAGGAGGUUUAAUUGACUCACAGUUCCACAUGGCUGGGGAGGCCUCAGGAAACUUACAAUCAUGGUGGAAGGUGAAGGGGAAGUAAGUGCCUUCUUCACAAGAUGGCAGGAGAGAGAGAGUGCAAGGAAAACUGCCACUUUUAAACCAUCAGAUCGCGUGAGAACUCCCUCACUAUCACAAGAACAGCAUGGGGGAAACCACCCCCAUGAUCCAAUCAGCUCCCACCGGGUCUCUCCCUCAACACGUGGGGAUCACAAUUGGAGAUGAGAUUUGGGUGGGGACACAGAGCCAAACCAUAUCAUAGGCCUUUGCAUUUCUCAUUUCCUAAGAGAGCACAAACAAACAUCCAAAAGUUUCUGGGAUUCCCCAAGGAAGUGUCAGAUGCCCAAGGGAGAGGGCUAGAGAACCUGAGAGGGCCUUGUGCUUAGGAUAAGGGGGAUGCAGGGUGUGGGAAAAGACAGAUGACCAGGGAGCAGAUGGAAAACUCAGAUGCCACAGAGACACCAGCAGGGAAGACUAAUGACUGGACCUGCAGGGCCAUGAGGAUCUUGAGGACAGAUGACUAAGAACCAGAUCUGCCCUCCUCUCAGAUUCUUGGACACUCUUGACAUCCUUGCUUUAAUGUGCAGCCUCUUAACCUGUGAUCAAACUCUCCUCCAUCCCUGACCCCUAUGUGCCUCAGUCCCAGGACUGGGUCCUGGUCUCAGUUCUUGCCCACAUGCAGGACUCACUGGCAUUUGUUGAUGUAUCAGACACACCUGGACUGCUUCAGACUCUCUCAACCUCAUCUAUCUUCGGGACCCUUGGGGACUAGAGCCCAGAGUCUCUGGGUCCAUACAUCACUUUUGGCCUCAGAUGAAGUGCCACACCAAAGGGGGUGGAGUCUGGCUUCCUUGGUGACUACGUGAUGAAUCCCCAAAGUAGAAGGGAGGUAACUCUGAAUCCCCAAAGUAGAAGGGAGGUAACUCCUCUUGGGGCACACUUUGACCAAGGCGAAGCAUGUUACAGUGUAAACGGAUGGACUAAAUACUUCUGUAUUCCUCUCAGUGAGGGACUGUUCUGAAGGGUAAUGUUCUUCUACAGCUUACCUGGAGAUGUCUCCCAUGGCCAGGUGGCUGGCUGUAUCUGUGAAGCAGUGGGCCUCUCAGUAGCACUACUCUAUAUUGGCUUCUUACUCUUCCCUGCCUUUCUUUCCUUUCCCCUCAUUUUCCCAGCCCUAGGGUUUUCUUGCAAUAAAGCAUUGCACUUAAGCUUUGUCUCAGCCUGUUUUCUAGGGAAGGUAGGCUAAGACAUUUGAAGAUGUCCCAUGUGUCGGGAAGUGUAUGAGGUAAUUUCACAUAUGUGAUUCCAUUUCACCUUUACAACAACCUUGGGCAGGGAGGGCAUGACUUGACAAGGUCACCCAUGAGCAAAGAGUGGAACUCAAAUAUUUUUCAUUGAAAAAGCAGUUACUGACCAUGUUCUAGGCAUCGGGAAUACUGUGGUGAACCAUUCAGACACAGCUGCUACUCUUGUGAAACUUAUGGUCUGCUGGAGGAGGGCACAUAAUAACAAGUAAACAAAUCCAUAAACAAGAUAAUUGCAUAAUGUGCCAAGUUCUAGGGAGACAAAUAAGGCUAUGUGAUAGAGUGUGACUGGGAGAGGGGACACUUUUUUUCCAUGUAGUAUUGAGGGAAGGCCUCUCUGAGGAUGUGACACAAGGGCUGAGGCCUAAAUGAUCAGGCAGCCAUGGAAAGUUUUGGAGGAAAUGUUUUCCAGGCAGAGAAAACAGCAAGUACAAACACCUUUAGGCAGGAACGAGCUUGGAGAGUUUGGGAAGGAAGACCAGUGAUUUUUUUCAUCAUACUAUGCUUGGCCUAGGGUCUGGCUUUGAACAUUCCAGGCAUGGCAGUGACAGUGAUACUUGUAUUCGUUAUCUAUUGCUGCAUGACAAGGUAUCCCAAAACUGAGUGGCUGAAAAAAGCAACAAUCAUUUUUUUCAUGGUUUCUGUGGGUGAGGAACUUAGGAGCAGCUUAACUGGUCAGUUCUUGUGUAGGUUCUCUCAUGAGGCUGCAGUCAGGAUAUAGGCUAUGGCUAUAUCAUCCGAAGACUUGACUGGGGCCAAAAAAUUUGUUUCUAAGAUGACUCAGUCACAUGGUUGGUUAGUGUUAGCUGUUGGUGAACAGCCCCAGUUCCUCCCUAACUGGGCCCCUCCAGAGGACUCUAGUUUCCUCUUGACACGCGACUGGCUUUCCCCAGAGUAAGUGAUCCAAGAGAGUAGGGCAGACACCACAUUGUCUUUGAUGGUCUAUCUUUGGAAGCCAUAUACCAUCAUUUCUGUAUUGUUCUUUUAGCCACGCAGACCUGCCCUGAAACAGUGUAGGAGGAUACUACCCAAGAUUGUAAACACCAGAUGACAAGGAUUGGGGCCAUAUUGAAGACUGCUUACCACAGUGCCCAAAUGCUGUAACAAUAUCUAGUUUGAUGUGCUCUCUUCCCUCUCUUGGUUUGCCUUCAUUCACAAACUAUCCCUAUAUAGGAAGAUGGAUCUCAAAAGCUCCAGGCUUCUACAUUUCAAGUCUAAAAUAAAGGGCCUUAUUUUUCCCAAUAUCUCCAAGAAAAUCCCUGGAAUUGAAUCCCAUUGACUUUGAGUACAUGCUAUCAUUUCUGCAUUAUUCUGUUGGCCACACAGAUCAACUCUGAAACAGUGAAGGAUACUGCCCAAGAUCGUUGGGUGUGAAGAUUGUUCAUCAAGAUAAUUGGCUUGAUCCAUUUCUUGCUCAAUGUCUAUGACUGGGGGGAAGGGUGGGGUCAACCCCACCAAAGUCACAUGGACUGAGAGUCGAGGAGAUGCAGUGUCCUCAAAGGAAAACUAGGGUUUUAUUAUGAGAAGAAAGUAGAAUGGAUAGCGGGUGGGUGGAAAUAGCAGGUGUGUGUACUACACCUAUAAUCAGGAUCUCUCCUCCCCUUCAUCCUUAUCCAAGUUGGCCCUUAGAAAAAUGGAAAUAAUUUGAAAAGUUCACUUUGAUUGAGGUACUAAAACAACCAAUGUCACAUUAAGAGUUACUCUUCUUUGCAUUUGAAAAGGGAAUAUGAUUUUAUUCCCAAAGAAUGAAACUAUGAUGAGGUAAUUUCAGGCAUUCAUAAAAACGACAUGGUAGUCUUUUGGGAUAGGGAAGUGAAAGUGUCCUGAUGCCUCUCAAAUCAGGCUAUAUCUACAGUCAUAUUGCCAACCACCCUGCAUCUAUCUUAUGUCACUUUUUAAAAAUAGUUUUACUGAGGUAUGCUUGAUGUACAAUUACUCAUAUUUAAAGCAUAUGAGUUGAUAAAUUUUAAAUAUGCAUACAUCCAGAAACCAAUCAAUAAAAUCUCUGUUGUUAUUAGCUGUGUAAACAUUUAGAAUUGUUAUGUCCUCUAGGUGAAUUCACCACUUUAUCAUUAAAAAAUGACCUUGUUUUUUCUUUUUUUUUAGAGACAGGGUUUCACUCUAUCAUGCAGGCUGGAAUCCAGGUAUGCCAUCAUUGCUUACUGCAGCCUUGACCUCCUGGGUUCAAGCGAUCCUCCUGUCUCAGCCUCCUGAGUGGCUGGGACUAUAGGUUUGCAUCACCAUGCCCAGCUAUUUUUUUAAAUUUUUGUUUGUAUUUUGUAGAGACAGGGGUCUCUCUAUGUUGCCCACGCUGGUCUUGAACUCCUGGCCUCAAGAGACCUUUCUGCCUCCCAAAGUGCUAGGAAAUACAGGUGUGAACCACUGGACCUGGCCAGAAAUGACUUUUUAAAAUCCCUGGUAAUAUUCUUUGCUCUUAAAUAUACGCUAUCUGAUAUGAAUACAGCACUUACUUUAUUCCCAGCAUUGUUCCAACCACACGCCAUUGCAUGCAUUGCUUCAUCAAACUUCAGCAGUAACCUUACAAGCAAGGUGUAGGGAAUUUAGGUAGUUUGUUCAAGAUCAAGGUUUGAACCUGACUUUAGAAUCCACCUUAUUCACCAAUACAACAUUAAAAGGAACUGUAUCGAGCCAUGGAAUUAAAAUAAAACAAUUAUAAUACUUUGAGAAUGAGGCAUUUCAUGUCAGAAUAUCAGAUAAAGAUAGCCAGGCAAAGUUACCUCUGCUCUCUGAAUGCAGUAUUUUUCUUUUGAAAACUCACGCACAAGAACCCCCUUGGAGGCUUGCUUGCUUUGACAGCUCAUAGAGGUUAUUCACUCAGCUUUUAGUCCUCUACUUCCUCAGAC
rnacentral:lncRNA from 1 species